rnacentral:rRNA from 1 species
UACGGAGGGUGCGAGCGUUGUCCGGAAUCAUUGGGCGUAAAGGGCGCGUAGGUGGCCCGGUCAGUUCGUGGUGAAGCGCGGGGACCUCAACCCUGCGUCGGCCAUGAAUACUGCCGCGGCUGGAGCACUGUAGAGGCAGGCGGAAUUCCGGGUGUAGCGGUGGAAUGCGUAGAGAGUCCGGAAGAACACCGGUGGCGAAGGCGGCC